GACGAACGCUGGCGGCGUGCCUAAUACAUGCAAGUAGAACGCUGAAGGAGGAGCUUGCUUCUCUGGAUGAGUUGCGAACGGGUGAGUAACGCGUAGGUAACCUGCCUGGUAGCGGGGGAUAACUAUUGGAAACGAUAGCUAAUACCGCAUAAGAGUAGAUGUUGCAUGACAUUUGCUUAAAAGGUGCAAUUGCAUCACUACCAGAUGGACCUGCGUUGUAUUAGCUAGUUGGUGAGGUAACGGCUCACCAAGGCGACGAUACAUAGCCGACCUGAGAGGGUGAUCGGCCACACUGGGACUGAGACACGGCCCAGACUCCUACAGGAGGGAGCAGUAGGGAAUCUUCGGCAAUGGACGGAAGUCUGACCGAGCAACGCCGCGUGAGUGAAGAAGGUUUUCGGAUCGUAAAGCUCUGUUGUAAGAGAAGAACGAGUGUGAGGGUGGAAAGUUCACACUGUGACGGUAUCUUACCAGAAAGGGACGGCUAACUACGUG
rnacentral:rRNA from 1 species